AAUUAACAGCUGGCUGUUGUCUUAACAUCUGUCAAACAAAUCAUUGGACAAGUUAAAAUGUGCACAUGAUUGAUAUUUUAUCCACUGCCCUCCAAUGACUGCAACACCUUCAGCAUCGACUGCACCACCAGAAACAACAGGACACAGGUCCUGUCGUUACAACUGUGGUUAUGACCUGGGAGUCUGCUCCUGCCGCAGCUCGUGUAACUACUAUGGUACCUGUUGCUAUGACUACAACAACUACUGCGCUGGAACAACAGAACCUCCAGAAACCACAGGUAGGA